GGUUAAGCGACUAAGCGUACACGGUGGAUGCCCUGGCAGUCAGAGGCGAUGAAGGACGUGCUAAUCUGCGAUAAGCGUCGGUAAGGUGAUAUGAACCGUUAUAACCGGCGAUUUCCGAAUGGGGAAACCCAGUGUGAUUCGUCACACUAUCAUUAACUGAAUCCAUAGGUUAAUGAGGCGAACCGGGGGAACUGAAACAUCUAAGUACCCCGAGGAAAAGAAAUCAACCGAGAUUCCCCCAGUAGCGGCGAGCGAACGGGGAGCAGCCCAGAGCCUGAAUCAGUGUGUGUGUUAGUGGAAGCGUCUGGAAAGGCGCGCGAUACAGGGUGACAGCCCCGUACACAAAAAUGCACAUGCUGUGAGCUCGAUGAGUAGGGCGGGACACGUGGUAUCCUGUCUGAAUAUGGGGGGACCAUCCUCCAAGGCUAAAUACUCCUGACUGACCGAUAGUGAACCAGUACCGUGAGGGAAAGGCGAAAAGAACCCCGGCGAGGGGAGUGAAAAAGAACCUGAAACCGUGUACGUACAAGCAGUGGGAGCACGCUUAGGCGUGUGACUGCGUACCUUUUGUAUAAUGGGUCAGCGACUUAUAUUCUGUAGCAAGGUUAACCGAAUAGGGGAGCCGAAGGGAAACCGAGUCUUAACUGGGCGUUAAGUUGCAGGGUAUAGACCCGAAACCCGGUGAUCUAGCCAUGGGCAGGUUGAAGGUUGGGUAACACUAACUGGAGGACCGAACCGACUAAUGUUGAAAAAUUAGCGGAUGACUUGUGGCUGGGGGUGAAAGGCCAAUCAAACCGGGAGAUAGCUGGUUCUCCCCGAAAGCUAUUUAGGUAGCGCCUCGUGAAUUCAUCUCCGGGGGUAGAGCACUGUUUCGGCAAGGGGGUCAUCCCGACUUACCAACCCGAUGCAAACUGCGAAUACCGGAGAAUGUUAUCACGGGAGACACACGGCGGGUGCUAACGUCCGUCGUGAAGAGGGAAACAACCCAGACCGCCAGCUAAGGUCCCAAAGUCAUGGUUAAGUGGGAAACGAUGUGGGAAGGCCCAGACAGCCAGGAUGUUGGCUUAGAAGCAGCCAUCAUUUAAAGAAAGCGUAAUAGCUCACUGGUCGAGUCGGCCUGCGCGGAAGAUGUAACGGGGCUAAACCAUGCACCGAAGCUGCGGCAGCGACGCUGAUGCGUUGUUGGGUAGGGGAGCGUUCUGUAAGCCUGCGAAGGUGUGCUGUGAGGCAUGCUGGAGGUAUCAGAAGUGCGAAUGCUGACAUAAGUAACGAUAAAGCGGGUGAAAAGCCCGCUCGCCGGAAGACCAAGGGUUCCUGUCCAACGUUAAUCGGGGCAGGGUGAGUCGACCCCUAAGGCGAGGCCGAAAGGCGUAGUCGAUGGGAAACAGGUUAAUAUUCCUGUACUUGGUGUUACUGCGAAGGGGGGACGGAGAAGGCUAUGUUGGCCGGGCGACGGUUGUCCCGGUUUAAGCGUGUAGGCUGGUUUUCCAGGCAAAUCCGGAAAAUCAAGGCUGAGGCGUGAUGACGAGGCACUACGGUGCUGAAGCAACAAAUGCCCUGCUUCCAGGAAAAGCCUCUAAGCAUCAGGUAACAUCAAAUCGUACCCCAAACCGACACAGGUGGUCAGGUAGAGAAUACCAAGGCGCUUGAGAGAACUCGGGUGAAGGAACUAGGCAAAAUGGUGCCGUAACUUCGGGAGAAGGCACGCUGAUAUGUAGGUGAAGUCCCUCGCGGAUGGAGCUGAAAUCAGUCGAAGAUACCAGCUGGCUGCAACUGUUUAUUAAAAACACAGCACUGUGCAAACACGAAAGUGGACGUAUACGGUGUGACGCCUGCCCGGUGCCGGAAGGUUAAUUGAUGGGGU
rnacentral:rRNA from 1 species